rnacentral:rRNA from 1 species
UCCGUCGGGUGCAGGCGUUAAUCGGAAUUACUGGGCGUAAAGCGUGCGCAGGCGGUUUCUUAAGUCAGAUGUGAAAGCCCCGGGCUUAACCUGGGAACUGCGUUUGAAACUGGGAGACUUGAGUGUGGCAGAGGGGGGUGGAAUUCCACGUGUAGCAGUGAAAUGCGUAGAUAUGUGGAGGAACACCGAUGGCGAAGGCAGCCCCCUGGGUUAACACUGACGCUCAUGCACGAAAGCGUGGGGAGCAAACAGG